rnacentral:rRNA from 1 species
CCUACGGGAGGCAGCAGUGGGGAAUAUUGCACAAUGGGGGAAACCCUGAUGCAGCGACGCCGCGUGAGUGAAGAAGUAUUUCGGUACGUAAAGCUCUAUCAGCAGGGAAGAAAAUGACGGUACCUGACUAAGAAGCCCCGGCUAACUACGUGCCAGCAGCCGCGGUAAUACGUAGGGGGCAAGCGUUAUCCGGAUUUACUGGGUGUAAAGGGAGCGUAGACGGCAGCGCAAGUCUGGAGUGAAAUCCCAUGGCUUAACCAUGGAACUGCUUUGGAAACUGUGCAGCUAGAGUGCAGGAGAGGUAAACGGAAUUCCUAGUGUAGCGGUGAAAUGCGUAGAUAUUAGGAGGAACACCAGUGGCGAAGGCGGCUUACUGGACUGUAACUGACGUUGAGGCUCGAAAGCGUGGGGAGCAAACAGGAUUAGAUACCCCAGUAGUC